AAAUGAGGGAGAUUUAGGCUGCACUUAAAAUGAGUCUAGGCAGGGACAGCCAAGUCACCUUCCAGGGAAGAGUCUCCCCCGGGAGUGAGACCCGGUGCCUUCUGUUGUGUGGUCGGCUGUGCAGCAUCGUGAUGAGAAGGCACAGGGGCUGCGGAACUGUCUAAAGAGGGGACUCCCAGCUUCAAGGACUGUUUUAUGUGACAGCCCUGCCAGGGAGGCCUGGGGACAUCAUCACAGCCCCCACCCUCAGACAACACCCAUGAGUCAGCAGAGCCUGUUGGCCUGACUCCUGAGUGCCGUGCAGCCCCUGGUAGAAGUCACUGACACGGCUGAGUAACGGUUCCUCGGCCCUCGGCUGGCUCUGCCAUUUCACGGCAAGGGACGGUUGAUGAUGAAGCGCCGGCCGUGUAAAUGAAGAUCGGGUGAGGAGCAGGACGAUGCCCAAGGGUGGGUGCCCUAAAGCACCACAGCAGGAAGAGCUUCCCCUCAGCAGCGACAUGGUGGAGAAGCAGACUGGGAAAAAGGAUAAAGAUAAAGUUUCUCUAACCAAGACCCCAAAACUGGAGCGUGGCGAUGGCGGGAAGGAGGUGAGGGAGCGAGCCAGCAAGCGGAAGCUGCCCUUCACCGCGGGCGCCAAUGGGGAGCAGAAGGACUCGGACACAGGACCGCCGGGGUCCUGCUUGUCCUGGGGCAGCCACGAGGGAGCCCUCGUCAGGAGCGCCAUGGGCCGAAGCUGCCUGCCCUCUGCACGUGGAUGUUUCUUUGGAACAAGGGGAAAAAUUAUGAUUUUCUUAUUUUGCUUUGACCUGUGAAUGACACCCUGGUCUCUGGUGCCUGGGGUGUGCUCUCUGCAGUGCUGCCAGGCACAUGCUGGUUCCUUCAGCGUUAGGUGCUUGGCACCUUCAGUCUUUUCCUGACGUCAUGUUUGUUCCUGGUGCCUCAGAUAGGAGACGGCUGUUCUGACGGCUCCUGCUUCCCCAUUCCUGGAGGGAAGACAGACUUAGCCACUGGUAUCUGUGGGACUUCUUGGAACUCUGAAUGCCAGACCUUGCCCAGUGCUAGAGGCGACAAGUGUGUGAAGUUGAAGAGGCUUCUCCCACCCGCUCAGCUGCAGUGGACCCGAGCGGGCAGAGAGAGCAGAGUGCAGCAGGGGCCAGGCUGUGCUCGCAGGCGGGGCAGGUGCCUGGAGAGCAUGGCGCCCCUGGGAGCCUCUGGCCAGGAAGGGCAUGUGCACUGCAGUGUGCCGUGGACCAGUGGCCUCAGCUCAGUGUGUUGACGAGGGUCCCAAGGCACUCACGUGUGUGGGGAUGUUAGCAACACACGGCGGGAAGCCCUGAUGCAGUUUCUCACCAAGCGUGUAGCAGACCCCACGCACCCCACACAGGUCAGGCACCCCACACAGGGCACAGACCCCACACACCCCACACAGGGCAGGCACCCCACACAGGGCACAGACCCCACGCACCCCACACAGGGCAGGCACCCCACACAGGGCACAGACCGCACGCACCCCACACAGGGCAGGCACCCCACACAGGGCACAGACCCCACGCACCCCACACAGGGCAGGCACCUCACACAGGGCACAGACCCCACGCAUCCCACACAGGGCAGGCACCCCACACAGGGCACAGACCCCACACACCCCACACAGGGCAGGCACCUCACACAGGGCACAGACCCCAUGCACCACACACAGGGCAGGCACCCCACACAGGGCACAGACCCCACGCACCCCACACAGGGUACAGACCCCACACACCCCACACAGGGCAGGCACCCCACACAGGGCACAGACCCCACGCAGCCCACACAGGGCAGGUACCCCACACAGGGCACAGACCCCACGCACCCCACACAGGGCAGGCACCCCACACAAGGCACAGACCCCACGCAUCCCACACAGGGCAGGCACCCCACACAGGGCAGGCAUCCCACACAGGGCACAGACCCCACGCACCCCACACAGGGCAGGCACCUCACACAGGGCACAGACCCCAUGCAUCCCACACAGGGCAGGCACCCCACACAGGGCACAGACCCCACGCACCCCACACGGGGCAGGCAGCUCACACAGGGCACAGACCCCAAGCACCCCACACAGGGCACAGACCCCACGCACCCCACACAGGGCACAGACCCCACACACCCCACACAGGGCAGGCACCUCACACAGGGCACAGACCCCAUGCAUCCCACACAGGGCAGGCACCCCACACAGGGCACAGACCCCACACACCCCACACAGGGCAGGCACCCCACACAGGGCACAGACCCCACGCACCCCACACAGGGCAGGGAUCCCACGCAGGGCACAGAUCCCACGCAGGGCAGGGCCAGCCCAAGGCCAGGCCCCUCCCCUGUAGAUCUCCUCCCAGGCAGGACCAGAGCCACAGUCACUUCCACACUAUCUCCUUCCCUAGAAACCUCUGCAGACUCUUCCUCCUCUCCUCGAUACACAGGGGCCCCUGCCACAGCCUGACUCUCUGCCACCUCGUGAGUCUCUGGAAAGCAGGGUCGGCCUCUGAAUACAGAGGACUUGGGUCCUGCCGGAGGAUGCUUGGCCAGUGGGUGCUGGCACGUGAGCAGCCCCCGGGGAGUCAGAGUGGGGCUGCAGCGAAGGCCGUGGUGGUCGAGGUGAGGGUGGUGGCCAGGUCUUGUUGCCGCAGUGAGGAUUCUGGGGUUACCCUAAGAGCCACCACAUUCAGGCACUCAAGAAAAAGCACGUCAAAAUAAAAUAUUUUCACAUG
rnacentral:lncRNA from 1 species